CGCCCCGGCCCCGCCCCCGCCCUACGGUCGAGCCCCGCCCAGGAACGGACCCGAGCGGCCGGGCGCGGGCGGAGGUGGGGGACUUGGAGAGAAAGUGUCGCCUAGAGUAACUUCGAGCUUCGUUUUGUCGUUUGCAUGAGUCCUUACUCGCGAUUAGGUGCUCAGUAAACAUUUGAAGGAGAAAAAGAAGACAACACGGAAGGAGUGAAGAGAGAAACCUCAAGGACAUAGAGACAAGCAAACAGCACUUCCUUGGGUCUGGAGUCUCUCUGAUCUAUUCUGCCUUUACCCUGCUGAGGACAGAUCACCUUGAGCAAAGUGCAACAGGACUGGUUCCAUAACUCGAGUCUUUAAAAGGAAGGGUCCCUGCCUGGUCCCAGCAUUUGACUUUCUGACAACUGAAAUAGAAGCUGUGAUUCCUGUCCUCUGAAACUCUGAAUGGACCAAAAGAUGGAAUUGGCCCCCAAUUUGCCUGUGUCGCGAACGAAAGCAUCAGGAUGAAAGUCAAAUUCUCGGCAGGAGGUCCGUCAUCUCUCUUCCAGCUGCACGCUGACCCAGCCCCUUCUGAUGCUGAGCUCCAUCUUGGAUUUCUAGUUCUAGCAAAAUGGAGCUUCUUCUGCGGUCCCUCCAGCUGCAAUGCCUGAGGCCUUAUUGGAUGAUAGCCUUCAUCCUUUAAGACUAAACAGAGGUGUUACUACCUGGAGGGAAACUCCGACUCUUUCUCCCUCUUAAUUCUUUGAAGUCUGACUUUAGAGGAUCUGUCCUUUCUCCUGGAGAAGGGGUUAUUACUCUGUAAAGAAAUGUGUUCUACAGAAAGAGAAAGGCAAUAAGGCUAGUUGGUAGGGAAAAUAAAGUAGUUAAAUUAAUUAUUCAGGAAAAAAGACUGUGAAAUAGCCAAACCUAAGAAAGGCAGAGCCCAACCAGGAGAGAAAGUGACAGAACUGUGGAAUGCUUGACAUUCUUUUGAACCCUAAGAGCAAAGACAGUCAAGAUCACAAUGGGGUCAGAACAAGUACAGGUAAGAGUUGUAUUUUGUGGGGCGCCUGGGUGGCUCAGUGGGUUAAGCAUCCGACUUUGGCUCAGGGCAUGAUCUCACAGUGUGAGUUGAGACCCACGUCGGG